rnacentral:rRNA from 1 species
AUUGAACGCUGGCGGCAGGCCUAACACAUGCAAGUCGAACGGUAACAGGAAGCAGCUUGCUGCUUCGCUGACGAGUGGCGGACGGGUGAGUAAUGUCUGGGAAACUGCCUGAUGGAGGGGGAUAACUACUGGAAGCGGUAGCUAAUACCGCAUAACGUCGCAAGACCAAAGAGGGGGACCUUAGGGCCUCUUGCCAUCGGAUGUGCCCAGAUGGGAUUAGCUAGUAGGUGGGGUAACGGCUCACCUAGGCGACGAUCCCUAGCUGGUCUGAGAGGAUGACCAGCCACACUGGGACUGAGACACGGUCCAGACUCCUACGGGAGGCAGCAGUGGGGAAUAUUGCACAAUGGGCGCAAGCCUGAUGCAGCCAUGCCGCGUGUAUGAAGAAGGCCUUCGGGUUGUAAAGUACUUUCAGCGGGGAGGAAGGGAGUAAAGUUAAUACCUUUGCUCAUUGACGUUACCCGCAGAAGAAGCACCGGCUAACUCCGUG